rnacentral:rRNA from 1 species
UUUUUUUGGGGAUAAAAAUGUAACAAGUUCGCUGGGAACCGCGGGGAGGGAUCAUUAGCGCAAAUCUUGCACUAUUCAAUCCCGUAGCAAACUUUUUCUUUAGACCCCACCCCGGGGUGCCGCGCCCCGGCGCGGCGCCUUGGGGAAGGGCAUUUUUUAAUCCUAUUCAACUAAGACUCUGAGUGCUCACAAAGAGCGACAACCCCCAGCAACGGAUCUCUUGGCUCUGGCAUCGAUGAAGAGCGCGGCGAAAUGCGAUACGUAAUGCGAAUCGCAGGACCCAAACGAGGCAUCGAGUUCUUGAACGCACAUUGCGCCUGCCGGUUCCCCGGCAGGCCUGCCCGUCCGAGCGCCGCAGCGCACCCCUCUGCUAACCUUCCCACCCGAAAGGGUGCGGCUGGUCCAGCAGGCGCUUGGCGGCAGCGCGCCUCUCCUCCGAGACGGCGCGCCGCCAGCCCAAAUGAAAAGGCGACUGUAUCGGUCCCGCAUCCCGGCGUAGCAUCCUUCAGGAAAUCGCCAGGGGAGCAGAGGACCGAGCAGCACCGCGUUAGCGGAGACCAGGCACCACGCCGGCCUCGGAUCGGGCAGGGCUACCCGCUGAACUUAAGCAUAUCAGUAAGCGGAGGAAAAGAAACCCAACAGGGAUUGCCCCAGUAGCGGGCGAGCGAAGCGGCAACAGCCCAAAUUUGAAAUCUGGCACGCCCCGCGCGAGUCCGAGUUGUAGUUUGGAGAGGACGUCCCCGUGGCACCGGUGGCGGUUCGCAGUCCCCUGGAACGGGGCGCCAUAGAGGGUGAGAGCCCCGGUGCGGCCGUCUGCCGGAGUCCGGUGUGGGGCUCACUCGAAGAGUCGGGUAAGCUUGGGAGUGCUGCCCUAAGUGGGAGGUAAAUUCCUCCUAAAGGCUAAAUACCGGGCCAAGAGACCGAUAGCGCACAAGUAGAGUGAUCGAAAAGAUGAAAAGCACCCUGGAAAGAGGGUCAAACAGCACGUGAAAUUGCUGGGGGGGGAAGCGCCCGCGACCAGGACGCGGGCGGCGAGGUCUCGACCCGGUGGCAUGUCCUCCGGGCUCUUCCACGCCGCCCGGGCCAGCGCCGGCCUGCGCCCGGGGAAUGGGGAUCAGAGGAAUCGUGGCCCUCUUCGGAGGGGGGAGCAGACUUGUGUAUCCGCGCCCGAGCUUGCAGGCCGAGGAUGCCGCGCCUUUUGGGCCGCGCGCUUUGCAAAGGGUCCCGGGGCCCUUUUUAAACCAAAAAAA